AUGGCGGAGUCAAGCGCCACGGGGGGAAGGAGAGGGAAGACGAAGGAGACGGAGACGGUGGAGGAGAUGAUGGAUCGGCUAGAUCUGACAGAGAAGGAGAGGGCAAAGUUGGUUGUUGAUGAUGAGGAAGAUCAGGGGGAGGAUGAGCUCCAUGCGCUGAUCGGGAAGGUGCUACAUCGGAAAGUACUUCAGGUGAACACCAUUGGUGAAGCCCUUCGCCCAGUGUGGGGUAAUCCAAGGGGGCUGAAUUUUAGGCCAUCGGGCGAGAAUGUCUUUGUGGCAAGUUUCAUGAACAAACGCGAUAGCGAUCGGAUCUUCGAUGGAGGUCCAUGGAUGGUGGGAAAACAUUGUGUGGUUUUGGAAAGGUUCAAUAUAAGGCCGCGUCCCUCGGAGCUCAAGUUUGAAAAGAUCAAGAUUUGGGUGCGGGUGAUUAACCUACUGUUCAACUUGUUGUGCCCGCCAUGGCCGAAGCGCAUAGCAGGCAUGGUGGGAGAGGUGUUAACCCUGGAUGCUGAUGACAAAGGGUUUGCUUUUGGUGACUGCUUGAGAUUGAGAGCAUGGAUUCAGGUAGGUGAACCAUUGAUGCGUUGGGUGCAACUGGAGAAAGCGAGAACGAAGGAGACAGAAUUCUUUGACAUCCAAUAUGAAAACCUGCCCUAUUUUUGCUUCUCUUGCGGGCUGCUGGGACAUGCGGAGUUGAUGUGUCCUACACCAGCGGGGAGGGAUGAAUAUGGGAGACCCCCAUACCGCGAGGCUUUGAGAGGUACGAAUGGACGAGUCAACCGUGGAGGGCGUGGACCCAAUACGGUUUACCGCCGUGUUGAUAUGGAAAAGACGAAUGUGCAUGGUCGGGGCAACAACACCUUACUACUGCAAGACAAUGAGACCGUGAUCAGGAAGAGACAGAACGAGGAGAAUGAGUCGUCAGAUUCCAGAGAUGACAGCCAUGACUCCAAGGAGAAAAGGGCAGACGAGGAGGCUGCAAAAAGUGUCGCGGAGGCUGCGCAGCAGCCCCGCGGGGCGCAAUGA
rnacentral:rRNA from 1 species